GAUGAAGAACGCAUCGAAAUGCGAUACGUAAUGUGAAUUGCAGAAUUCAGUGAAUCAUCGAAUCUUUGAACGCAUAUUGCGCUCUCUGGUAUUCCGGAGAGCAUGCUUGUUUGAGUAUCAGUAAACACCUCAACUUCCAUAUCUUUUUUGAAAUGGGAGUUGGACUUGAGUGAUCCCAACGCUUUUCCUCACCGAAAAGUGGCGGGUUACUUGAAAUGCAGGUGCAGCUGGACUUUUCUCUGAGCUAUAAGCAUAUCUAUUUAGUCUGCCUAAAAAACAGAUUAUUACCUUUGCUGCAGCUAACAUAAAGGAGAUUAGUUCUUGUGCUGACUGAUGCAGGAUUCACAAAGACAGGCUUCGGCCGACUUUGUAAACUCGAUCUCAAAUCAAGUAAGACUACCCGCUGAACUUAAGCAUAUAAUAAGCGGAGGA
rnacentral:misc_RNA from 1 species